rnacentral:rRNA from 1 species
CUUUCGGGUCGUAAAACUCUGUUGUUGGAGAAGAAUGGUCGGCAGAGUAACUGUUGUCGGCGUGACGGUAUCCAACCAGAAAGCCACGGCUAACUACGUGCCAGCAGCCGCGGUAAUACGUAGGUGGCAAGCGUUAUCCGGAUUUAUUGGGCGUAAAGCGAGCGCAGGCGGUUUUUUAAGUCUGAUGUGAAAGCCCUCGGCUUAACCGAGGAAGUGCAUCGGAAACUGGGAAACUUGAGUGCAGAAGAGGACAGUGGAACUCCAUGUGUAGCGGUGAAAUGCGUAGAUAUAUGGAAGAACACCAGUGGCGAAGGCGGCUGUCUGGUCUGUAACUGACGCUGAGGCUCGAAAGCAUGGGUAGCGAACAGGAUUAGAUACCCUGGUAGUCCAUGCCGUAAACGAUGAAUGCUAGGUGUUGGAGGGUUUCCGCCCUUCAGUGCCGCAGCUAACGCAUUAAGCAUUCCGCCUGGGGAGUACGACCGCAAGGUUGAAACUCAAAGGAAUUGACGGGGGCCCGCACAAGCGGUGGAGCAUGUGGUUUAAUUCGAAGCAACGCGAAGAACCUUACCAGGUCUUGACAUCUUUUGAUCACCUGAGAGAUCAGGUUUCCCCUUCGGGGGCAAAAUGACAGGUGGUGCAUGGUUGUCGUCAGCUCGUGUCGUGAGAUGUUGGGUUAAGUCCCGCAACGAGCGCAACCCUUAUGACUAGUUGCCAGCAUUUAGUUGGGCACUCUAGUAAGACUGCCGGUGACAAACCGGAGGAAGGUGGGGAUGACGUCAAAUCAUCAUGCCCCUUAUGACCUGGGCUACACACGUGCUACAAUGGAUGGUACAACGAGUUGCGAGACCGCGAGGUCAAGCUAAUCUCUUAAAGCCAUUCUCAGUUCGGACUGUAGGCUGCAACUCGCCUACACGAAGUCGGAAUCGCUAGUAAUCGCGGAUCAGCACGCCGCGGUGAAUACGUUCCCGGGCCUUGUACACACCGCCCGUCACACCAUGAGAGUUUGUAACACCCGAAGCCGGUGGCGUAACCCUUUUAGGGAGCGAGCCGUCUAAGGUGGGACAAAUGAUUAGGGUGAAGUCGUAACAAGGUAGCCGUAGGAGAACCUGCGGCUGGA